GACGAACGCUGGCGGCGUGCUUAACACAUGCAAGUCGAACGGAAAGGCCUGCUUUCCCUUGUGGAUUGCGGGUGCUCGAGUGGCGAACGGGUGAGUAACACGUGAGUGAUCUGCCCCCAACUUGGGUAUAAGCCUGGGAAACUGGGUCUAAUUCCCGAUAGGACUGCAGGGUGGUGCCGGUGGUGGAAAACGAUUUUCUAGUGGUUGGGGAUGAGCUCGCGGCCUAUCAGCUUGUUGGUGGGGUAAUGGCCUACCAAGGCGGCGACGGGUAGCCGGCCUGAGAGGGUGGACGGCCACAUUGGGACUGAGAUACGGCCCAGACUCCUACGGGAGGCAGCAGUGGGGAAUAUUGCACAAUGGGCGGAAGCCUGAUGCAGCGACGCCGCGUGGGGGAUGACGGCCUUCGGGUUGUAAACUCCUUUCGACCGCGAGGAAGCCACCUGGUUGGAAGGGUGGUGACGGUAGUGGUAGAAGAAGCACCGGCUAACUACGUG
rnacentral:rRNA from 1 species